GACGAACGCUGGCGGCGUGCUUAACACAUGCCAGUCGAACGGAAACGCCCUGCUUUUGUGCGGUGCUCGAGUGGCGAACGGGUGCGUAACACGUGAGUAACCUGCCCUUGCCUUUGGGAUAACUUCAGGAAACUGGGGCUAAUACCGGAUAGAAGCUCCUGCUGCAUGGUGGGGGUUGGAAAGUUUCGGCGUUUGGGGAUGGACUCGCGGCUUAGCUGCUUGUUGGUGGGGUAGUGGAUUACCAAGGCCUUGACGGGUAGCCGGCCUGAGAGGGUGACCGGCAACAUUGGGACUGAGAUACGGCCGAGACUCGUGCGGGAGGCAGCAGUGGGGAAUAUUGCACGAUGGGCGGAAGUAGGGUGAAGUAACGCUGCGUGAGGGAUGACGGCCUUCGGGUUGUAAACCGUUUUGGCCUGUGACGAAGCGUGAGUGACGGUAAUGGGUAAAGAAGCACCGGCUAACUACGUG
rnacentral:rRNA from 1 species